UGAACGCUGGCGGCAGGCCUAACACAUGCAAGUCGAGCGGUAGAGAGAAGCUUGCUUCUCUUGAGAGCGGCGGACGGGUGAGUAAUGCCUAGGAAUCUGCCUGGUAGUGGGGGAUAACGUUCGGAAACGGACGCUAAUACCGCAUACGUCCUACGGGAGAAAGCAGGGGACCUUCGGGCCUUGCGCUAUCAGAUGAGCCUAGGUCGGAUUAGCUAGUUGGUGAGGUAAUGGCUCACCAAGGCGACGAUCCGUAACUGGUCUGAGAGGAUGAUCAGUCACACUGGAACUGAGACACGGUCCAGACUCCUACGGGAGGCAGCAGUGGGGAAUAUUGGACAAUGGGCGAAAGCCUGAUCCAGCCAUGCCGCGUGUGUGAAGAAGGUCUUCGGAUUGUAAAGCACUUUAAGUUGGGAGGAAGGGCAGUUACCUAAUACGUGAUUGUUUUGACGUUACCGACAGAAUAAGCACCGGC
rnacentral:rRNA from 1 species